UACGUAGGGCGCAAGCGUUGUCCGGAAUUAUUGGGCGUAAAGAGCUCGUAGGCGGUUUGUCGCGUCUGCUGUGAAAACCUAAGGCUCAACCUUGGGCUUGCAGUGGGUACGGGGCAGACUAGAGUGCGGUAGGGGUGACUGGAAUUCCUGGUGUAGCGGUGGAAUGCGCAGAUAUCAGGAGGAACACCGAUGGCGAAGGCAGGUCACUGGGCCGCAACUGACGCUGAGGAGCGGAAAGCGUGGGGAGCGAACACGG
rnacentral:rRNA from 1 species